UUAACACAUGAAUUUCAGUUUGUUCGUUAAAGUACUAACUUAGCUGUGUAUUUUUACAGUGGACGUAGUGGUGCGGUGCAGGUGGUAGACUAGGUAUUUCCAUAUAUACACUAUGUUUACAGAAUUGCGGCCAGCUGAUGAGUUAAUAGCACUAGUUCUUCAGACAAAUAACUUUUUUUUCAACCUAUAAAGCAUAUUUAGCUGUAGUUGGGGCCAAUUAGCUGUAAGAUCUGGCUUUUGUUCUGUUAAGCCCUUAGAGUAAUGAAUUUCAGAGUGAAGACCAUAGCGCCUUUUCCUAGUCAAGUAUCGGGCAGCUGUAUGUCUUUUCAGAAAUGCACAUGUCUUUUUAAGCAUGUCAUUGUGUUUGCUUUUAAUAAGAUAGGCAAUAAACUCAUCACCUUUAGACAAAUGAGCAUCUGUAAAUUCAGAUUUCACUAUUUCAGAGUCAGCCAGACCAUGAUUGAGCUUAAGGGUUGUGCUGCGGAUGCAGCCUGUGCAGUUCCGGGAGAAAGUCACUGUCUCGGGCAAUGCGGUCUGGUAUCAGGUCUGGAUGAUCCUUGCCUGACUGCGGGUUUGUGUACACCUCAAUCCGACUCUGUGUCCUGAACAGAGGCCGCAGUGGUGCAGCGCUUGUGGACGAUCCAUCAACAUCCUGAAAGGUCAACACUACACCAAGCUGGGAAAAUUGAUCCUGAUAGUCAUCCCCAGGCCUGACCGUUUGUCCUUGAGCCGUAGAUGGUCAACAAUCCGCUAGCUGUCUUGCUCUGACUGGUGCACUGGACAUGAUUUCAAUAGUCAGCCAGACCAUGAUUGAGCUUAAGGGUUGUGCUGCGGAUGCAGCCUGUGCAGUUCCGGGAGAAAGUCACUGUCUCGGGCAAUGCGGUCUGGUAUCAGGUCUGGAUGAUCCUUGCCUGACUGCGGGUUUGUGUACACCUCAAUCCGACUCUGUGUCCUGAACAGAGGCCGCAGUGGUGCAGCGCUUGUGGACGAUCCAUCAACAUCCUGAAAGGUCAACACUACACCAAGCUGGGAAAAUUGAUCCUGAUAGUCAUCCCCAGGCCUGACCGUUUGUCCUUGAGCCGUAGAUGGUCAACAAUCCGCUAGCUGUCUUGCUCUGACUGGUGCACUGGACAUGAUUUCAAUAGUCAGCCAGACCAUGAUUGAGCUUAAGGGUUGUGCUGCGGAUGCAGCCUGUGCAGUUCCGGGAGAAAGUCACUGUCUCGGGCAAUGCGGUCUGGUAUCAGGUCUGGAUGAUCCUUGCCUGACUGCGGGUUUGUGUACACCUCAAUCCGACUCUGUGUCCUGAACAGAGGCCGCAGUGGUGCAGCGCUUGUGGACGAUCCAUCAACAUCCUGAAAGGUCAACACUACACCAAGCUGGGAAAAUUGAUCCUGAUAGUCAUCCCCAGGCCUGACCGUUUGUCCUUGAGCCGUAGAUGGUCAACAAUCCGCUAGCUGUCUUGCUCUGACUGGUGCACUGGACAUGAUUUCAAUCCAGACCAUGAUUGAGCUUAAGGGUUGUGCUGCGGAUGCAGCCUGUGCAGUUCCGGGAGAAAGUCACUGUCUCGGGCAAUGCGGUCUGGUAUCAGGUCUGGAUGAUCCUUGCCUGACUGCGGGUUUGUGUACACCUCAAUCCGACUCUGUGUCCUGAACAGAGGCCGCAGUGGUGCAGCGCUUGUGGACGAUCCAUCAACAUCCUGAAAGGUCAACACUACACCAAGCUGGGAAAAUUGAUCCUGAUAGUCAUCCCCAGGUAGUGGAAUGAAUGUUCACUGAACUACAGAGGAAUCACACCCAAAUGACUUUCCUGCCACGACAUUAGUGUGGCCACUCGCGUAGGAAUUCCUUAGCAAACAUGCUCUUUUGCAUGGUGACUGUGGACAUUUUUGCAAAACUUACGCUUUCAACACUGGAUUUUAAAGAGAAUACUUAAUAAAAUGUCGCUAACAGGACUUAUUUAUAUGAGAGAGACUAUCUGGAUGCGCAUUAAGUGUCACUUUGUGUCGUAAGCUGUUGAAGGAGCGAUUUGCGCCUUUUUAAGUGUUCAUUUUGGGUAGCCGGCUUGUAUCGGCUUGAAAGCUGAAAAUUAUGCCUCUCAUCAUAAUAGCAUUAAUUUUUGUAAUUGCAAUGUGUAUGUUUAGAUUGUAAGUGAAGCUUUUAAUAAUGAUUUUCUUAAAAAACAUGAUUUUAUAUGCU